GAUGAAGAACGUAGCGAAAUGCGAUAAGUAAUGUGAAUUGCAGAAUUCAGUGAAUCAUCGAAUCUUUGAACGCACAUUGCGCCCGCUAGUAUUCUGGCGGGCAUGCCUGUUCGAGCGUCAUUUUCAACCAUCAAGCCCCAGGCUUGUGUUGGGGUCCUGCGGUUUCCGCAGCCCCCUAAAAGCAGUGGCGGGCUCGCUGUCAUACCGAGCGCAGUAGCACAUCUUCGCUCUGGGCGUGACAGCUUGUACCGGCCGUGAAACUCUCACUAAGGUUGACCUCGGAUCAGGUAGGAAUACCCGCUGAACUUAAGCAUAUCAAUAAGCGGAGGA
rnacentral:misc_RNA from 1 species